rnacentral:rRNA from 1 species
CGCGUAGGCGGCCUUGUAAGUUGGGGGUGAAAGAUCAGGGCUCAACCCUGAGAGUGCAUCGGAAACUGGGCAUCUUGAGGACAGGAGAGGAAAGUGGAAUUCCUAGUGUAGCGGUGAAAUGCGUAGAUAUUAGGAGGAACACCAGUGGCGAAGGCGACUUUCUGGACUGUAACUGACGCUGAGGCGCGAAAGCGUGGGGAGCAAACAGGAUUAGAUACCCCCGUA